rnacentral:rRNA from 1 species
UACGGAGGGUGCAAGCGUUAUCCGGAUUUACUGGGUUUAAAGGGUGCGCAGGCGGAUAUGUAAGUCAGUGGUGAAAUCUCCGAGCUUAACUCGGAACGGUCAACUGAUACUGCUCGGCUAGAGUGCGGAAGGGGCAACUGGAAUUCUUGGUGUAGCGGUGAAAUGCGUAGAUAUCAAGAGGAACACCUGCGGCGAAGGCGGGUUGCUGGGCCGACACUGACGCUGAGGCGCGAAAGCUAGGGGAGCGAACGGG